rnacentral:misc_RNA from 1 species
UAGCUUUAGCUCGGUGGUGUAGGUAAACAAAGCUCCGCCUACGUCAUACGAGUUCAAGAGUGGAUGGUGUUUGUACUCGAGAAUAUAUUGUUUUCCGCGAUGAGCCGUAAAAGGCAUCACGCUGGCAGGCUAUUGACAAUUUUUUAAGAUCCAGUUGGGCCAGGCAGGCUCCCAACAUAAGUGGUCCAAGUCCUGCACACUACUACUAUCAAAUAUCUUGAAGGAAAACCUUAAUUGGGCAUUAGUCCAGAUUCAGCCAUGGGAGAGGUUGAUAAACCUUUUGGGUGUCCCCAGCCUGGCUGUGGCAUGAGCUUCACUAAUGAGGAUCAUCUGACAGUGCAUCGUAGACGUCAUGAGAUGCAACUUACAGUCAACGGAGAUCAUCACACAUCAUCUCUAGUCAAACAUCAUGGAUACAUAAUUGACCAGACACCUACUCCAACAAGGUUCUUACGGCAAUGUGAGGAAGUGGGACUGUUCCAGGAAAUAAACUUGAACCCCUUUGAUGAACAGUUUAGAAGAGCAUCACUUCUCAGGUCACAUCACUCUCUCACUGAGGCUCUUGGAGGGAAUGGAGGAGAAAGCCUUGACACACCACGAGUACUCCCACCUGUAGAUUCUGAUGAAACUAUUUCUUCCACGUCUCGAGAUGAUGUGUCUGUCACGUCAACCACGGCCAUGACCACUGCCACCAUCACCACGUCUAGCAUCUCUGCAUCUCGUUUACAAACUACCACCUCGGGCUGCACUCCACCGCAGUCCUCUUCAAGAGUCAUAGAAGUCGAGGGAGACCUAGACAAGACUGAACAAUUACCCAGACGGCUCUCUCUCAACGUCUCUUCAGCCGCUGAAGCAAGUCAACAGUCAAGCUCUGUGAUAUCCACACCUACACCUGUCAUUACUGCAGGGCCAUCAGUGACCCAGUCCCUUGGUGUAGUGGAUGUGGCUGGUGGGAGUGUGAAGAUAAAUGGGCUGGCACAGUCCUCCCCCCAGCAGCCAGCCCUCUGUGCUGCCGCCAGCUGUGUCCCUCCAUCUCCAAGUGCCACUGUCCUUCAGCUGCUCCUCAGAUUACCCAAUGGUCAAGCAAUCCCAGUUGAAAUUCCUGCAACUCCAGUUGUUUCUUCAUCCAAUUCAAGUGGAACCACAAAUGGCACAGUCUCCUCCAUUGCUGGUUCACUACCUCACUCAGUAGAAAGUAGAUCACCACAUCAGUCACUUGCCAAGAUGAAGUUAAAACAAGCCUUGGCCUCCAGCAGUACUGCAGCACGGCCAGGCUGUAGUAAGAUAUCACGAGCCAAUACAGCUGACCGCAUUGCUGAAAUGACCAGGUCACGUAAUUUCAGUGGCACCAGUAGUACUGAGGGUGAGGGGGAGGAAGACAGCACAAGUGGUAAUGGUAACAUUUUGAAAGGAGAGCGAAGGCGCCGCCAUUCUUCAGAUAAUGAAGAUCCUGCAGAGAAACGAAAAAAAUUCCUAGAAAGAAACAGAGCAGCUGCCAUAAGAUGUAGAGAAAAAAAGAAAAAAUGGAUUGAAAAUUUGUCUAUAAAAUAUGAUGAGUUGGGAUCCAUCAAUCAGAAACUACAGACUGAAGUAUCAUCUCUACGUUCUGAAGUUGCAAUCCUAAAAUCAAUGCUUUUACAACACAAAGACUGUCCAGUUACUCUGGCCAUGCAGGGAGAUGGCAGCUUGGACUGUGUAAACUGCAGUAGUGACUUGGCUCCCUUACCACCAAUAUUGGCACCUUUGUCAGUGGGUGUUCACAUUUCUGGCCAGCCUCAACACAAACCUCGCACCCGUUCUCUCUCUCUACCAUCGAUACCCUCGUCUAGUGGAACAGUGAUGGAGCCUCUGCCAGUGAACUUAUCGUGUUCAACUUACACCGUUUCCCCAGCAUGUACAGCGGUAACUUCUGUAUCUUCGUCAACCAAGGUGGGUGUUAUACCAGCAGUAUCUCCUGUAGCAGCCUCCAUGAGCCCUGUCAACUUGACUAACAGUCUCAUCACAACUAGCCAACACCCAGCUGCCCUCAACCCUACCACUACCAGUGCCCGUCUAAGUCAGCCUGGAGCAAUCUUUAAGCUUUCACAUGCACCCUUAGCCCACAAACACACCUCCAGUCCUCAGCUGCUUAUCCCAGCCACAGGAGCCUCUCAGUGAGUAUGAGACACCACACAGUGUUGGGUCCAUAGAUGGUGCAGUGUGUCAUGGACGGGAGAGAAAGGACUGACACGACUUUUUUUGGUGGUUCAACAUCAACAAUGAGGGCAUUCAAACAAUGACAAACAGGAAGGAGGUUCAAUCAAGGACAGCUCAAGUAUGCCAGUUUCUACUGCACUUUGAGGUAACAGUGAUGGGAGCCCCAGAGAUAAUAACAGCAGAAAUAAACCCCAAGACAAUAAUGAUGACUGGCACAUCCAACAUGAUCAUGGGAGCCAAUGGGUCUCCAGUCACUCACACAGCAACUCUCAGCCGACCACA